rnacentral:rRNA from 1 species
AUUGAACGCUGGCGGCAUGCCUUACACAUGCAAGUCGAACGGCAGCGCGGACUUCGGUCUGGCGGCGAGUGGCGAACGGGUGAGUAAAGCAUCGGAACGUGCCUAGGAGUGGGGGAUAACGUAGCGAAAGUUACGCUAAUACCGCAUAUUCUGUGAGCAGGAAAGCAGGGGAUCUUCGGACCUUGUGCUUCUGGAGCGGCCGAUGUCAGAUUAGCUAGUUGGUGAGGUAAAAGCUCACCAAGGCGACGAUCUGUAGCGGGUCUGAGAGGAUGAUCCGCCACACUGGGACUGAGACACGGCCCAGACUCCUACGGGAGGCAGCAGUGGGGAAUUUUGGACAUUGGGGGCAACCCUGAUCCAGCCAUGCCGCGUGAGUGAAGAAGGCCUUCGGGUUGUAAACUGCUUUUGUACGGAACGAAACGGCUCUUUCUAAUAAAGAGGGCUAAUGACGGUACCGUAAGAAUAAGCACCGGCUAACUACGUGCCAGCAGCCGCCGUAA